UCCGGUUUGUCACCGGCAGUCUCACAUGAGUCCCCAACUUAAUGCUGGCAACAUGCGACGGGGGUUGCGCUCGUUGCGGGACUUAACCCAACAUCUCACGACACGAGCUGACGACAGCCAUGCACCACCUGUGAUCCUGCCCCGAAGGGAAGGUGUGUUUCCACGGCGUCACCCCGCAUGUCAAGCCCUGGUAAGGUUCUUCGCGUUGCGUCGAAUUGAGCCACAUGCUCCGCCGCUUGUGCGGGUCCCCGUCAAUUCCUUUGAGUUUUAGCCUUGCGGCCGUACUCCCCAGGCGGGGCGCUUAAUGCGUUAGCUUCGGCACAGAAGGGGUCGAUUCCUUUUACAGCAAACGUGCACCGUUUACGGCUAGGACUAC
rnacentral:misc_RNA from 1 species